UCAGAGGCUCCAAUCUGGUUUACCCUUUCGAGCAAUUUCAUGCCCAAAGCUUCACAUCUUCAAAUUUUCUCCAAAAUUGAUCAAGUUUCCUCCAUAAAUCUUCAAUUAUUCCUUUAAAGAUUAUUUCACAACACAUUUUUUUGAAAAUUUUUAAAUCAAAGCUCUUUAGAUUCAGACCAUUUUCCACCUAUGCUGCAACGGCGCAUGUGUUGCUCUGGUCUCCAACUCCUCAUACCGUUGAUGCACCCUAACCUCCGCCCUCCCCAAAUUUCAAUAUGGAUCAAAUUCUAGAAGAAAUCGGUGAUGCAAAUCCAAUAGAGGAUAACCCUGAAGAUAUGAAAACGGAUGGGAAAGGCAAGAAGGGAAACAAAAGGUUUGAGGUGUGGGAUCAUUUUAAAAUCUGCAGGGAUGAGAAGCCAGAAUGUAAUUAUUGUGGACAAACAUACAAGUAUCAUGCAAAAACAGCGAACUAGUACAUUAUGAAAUCAUCUCAUGUAGUUGUGCAAGAGGUACCCGUAUAAGGUUCAAGACAAAAAAGCAAAAGAGAAUAACUGACUAUAGUAUGUAUAAAAUUGAUGAGCUUUCUAAGGGUAUUGGUAGCUGUGAAGAACAUGUCAAAUUUGUUCAGAUAGAUGUUGGAGAAUAGAUUACAAGAUUCUUCUUAUUGUUCGAGUAAUUUUUUUUUCAACAUGUGGAAGAUGAAGAUUUUCAGUGUUAUAUGAGAUUUUUUUUGCCCAAAAUUUGUAUUUUUCUUUAAGGAUGAUGGUUCAACAUCAAGUUUGUUUGACUACUGAUUGUUGGACAUCGAUAUAGAAUAUUAUUUAUUUCUGUUUAA